GCUGGUGUUGUAAAUGAAUUACAAGAAUAUAUGAGAGUUUGUUAUGUCGCUCUUCUUGAUGUUUAUGCUGAAAUGGAGAAAGAGUUAGCUUCAAAGGUGAAUCAUAUCGUAUUAGCUAUGCCAAAUCUGAGAUGAAAAAGUUAGUCGGUGCAUAUUUUGAUGAAGCAAAGUGGUUUCUUAAUCGUUGUACUCCAAAGUUUGAGGAGUACAUGAAGGUUGCACUUGUAUCGUGUGCAUAUAUGAUGCUAUCAACAAGUUCUUUGGUAGGCAUGCAAGAAGAUUUUAUAACUAUAUAUAGAGGCCCUUGAUUGGAUGAGUAAGGAGCCAGUAAUUGUUCAAGCCGCAACAGUUAUUUGUAGAUUAAUGGAUGAUAUGGCUGGACAUGAGUUCGAGCAACAAAGAGGAUAUGUGGAUUCAGCUGUAGAAUGCUACAUGAAACAAUAUGAGAAGUCAAAGGAAGAGACCUUUAACGAGUUUCAAGAACGAGUCAGCAAUGCAUGGAAAGACAUUAAUCAAGAAUGUAUGAACCCAACUGCUUUUCCAAUGUCUAUAUCAAGAGUUAUUGAUUUAUUGUAUAAAGAUGGAGAUACAUAUACACAUUCUGCAACCAAGCUUAAAGCCAUCAUUACCUCUGUUUUAAUUGAUCCGAUCAUAUGAUCGGAUCCUAAGAAUAAAAAUGAAGAUAAAACUACUAUCUUCAACAUACGUAAUGUUGUUGCACUAUUUUCCCUAUAACUAUCGUCUACGUUUGAAUUGUUAGAAUUUCAAAAUAAGACAUGUAUCCUAUUGACAAGGGUGUUUGUAUGCA